CUGUCUUUAAAAUUGCUUAUUAUUAUUAUUAUUAUUAUUAUUAUUAUUAUUAUUAUUAAUUCUUAAAAUCUCAUGUGUAGGGGGCUUUUGCCUAUGUGUGUGCCUGUGCUCUUCCUGGAUGCCUGGUAUCUGAGGAGUCUAGAAGAGUGCAUCAGUUUCCCUGGAACUGAAGCUACAGACGGUUGUGAACCUCCAUGUUCCCUGCCUGGACUCCCCUCAAUACCAGAUUAUGUCCUGGAAAUGUAUUUUUGUCGCAGCAACAAGACAAAUACCUAGUACAGAAAACUGGUACAGAGAAAUGGACUGCUGCCAUGAUAAACCUGGCCUCUGGGUGUCAGGCCUAUGGAACUGGCUUGCAGGGUGAAUAUGGAAGAGUCUGAAACUUUAAACUAGAAAAGCCCUUGAAUUCUGCAAGUAGAACUUGAUGGGCCAGAGGAUCAAGAGAAAUGAAGAAAAUGGAAACCUAGUUCAUGAAGUUUCAGAAUGGGGAACAAGGAGUCCAUUGAGAAUUGGAAUAGAGAUCAUUUGUGUGAUGGCAAAGAAUCCAGUUGCACUCUGGCCAUGUCAUGAACCCAAGUAAUGAACCACUUUAUAUGGUGGAGGGAAUUCAAGGCAGGGAAGCAGCAUGCAGGCUGUGAUAUGGUGAUUGCUUGCCAUUCUUAUUCCUAACUACAGUGAAAAACACUGACAAGUGGGGUUGGAAGCUAUAGUGUUUAGUUUUUCCUGGAAAAGAGCUCAAGUAUGUUUAAAGUUGCAGAAAAAGAGGCUGUGGCUGUUAAAAAAAAGUAGCCUGCCUCCCUUUGUACUGGGAAAAGGGUAAGACCCUAUCCAUCAAAAUUUGAAAAUGCAAAUUCACUUGCAAGGACAGCGCCUGAAAUGAGAAUGCUGCUGCCCAGUUCUUCGAAAGCAACUACCUCAGGAAGUGUUUCCCCAGGGACAGAACAGAGGCUAUUGUAAACUGACCAAAAGGGUCAGGUUCCACCUAAAGUGACUAGUGUCACCCAAAUGUUACUGGCCAUGCAACUAUGAAAAAUGCAAAAUUGAGUAGAUCGUGGAAUCUUGGACUAUGAUUUUAGAGGGCUGCUGAGGUCAUGCAGAGUGUGGCAAAGCUGGAAUUCCUGCAAGGAAGCUCCGCAAGGCCAUUGUAUGAAACCUUAAAGAUGAAGCCCAAGUUGCA
rnacentral:lncRNA from 1 species